UAGGGGUGAAAAUGUUUUAUGAGUGAACAACUCUCCUUAGUUAUAUUUUCUUCUUGAAAAUGGAGACAUCCAGAACAGCCAGCAGUUUCAAAAAAUGAAACUCUCUUGUAUGUAAAGGGUCUCUUUUCUGGAGUUCAUCCCUUGGGGGUUGUAGAACAGUCUGCCUUCUAAAGUCACAGCUAAAGACAGUAGACAAUGAAUGUCCUCUGGAGAUGUCCAGCUCAUCCUUGUCUGUGUGUGUAAGUGGUCACCUCUCUGCAGCAUGAACGAAGGUGGUGAGGGGUGCCUGGAGCAGGAAGACAGGCACUGCUGAGGGAAGUGUACAUGGCUCUGUGAUAGUUUUCUCUCAGGAAAUGUGUUCCUUAGUAAAUGUGUGCUUGAAGAGGAUUCACGUGACUGCAGUAACUGCAUGGCUGUUGUUUUAACCAUGUCUCCCUUUCUUGGCUUAUUCUGUCAAUCCAAGACAUCUGUGGAAGUUCCUGCAGUACAUUCUGAUGUGGAACAAUAAUUGCAAGGAAACCUUUCUGCAAUCACAUCCAGUCUUAAUUUAACUAAUGCUUUGAGGAAAAGAUAAAGCCAUGGUGCUUUUGCUUUUUAGUCUUUUGUCCUUGAGUAGUUUCUCACAGUUUCACUUCUGCAUUGCUGUUCUCUGCUUACUUUUCUGCUGCCUUCUCGUCCUGAUUCUUGCAGAAGAAGGAGGGACCAGCCCCACACACUUCUCUUCAGACUGUCAGUAAUUCUGCUGCUCUCUGGUGUUUGAGAGCCACUGAUGGAAGACCCAGACAGCCCCAGAUCUGUCAGCAGAGUCUUACAGACACAGCUUGCCACGUGCCAUUCUCUGCCCCAGGGAGAAUAUCUGUAUCUGAUGAUUACAGCAUCCACCUUGGAUCAGGCUAUGGCUGUUGCUCUUAUGAAGACAAUGCAUUUGGCAGCAGAGACUCUGCAGAGCUGCACUGCUGGCUAUCCCAAAGGCUAUCUACUAAGAAGAGAGAAAACACAGCUUCCAAUUGUGGCUGGCCACCAGACAAAUGCAUGAGGGUAAAGGAAUUUCCUUAACGAGUAAAGACUGAUCACUUUGCAGGAUUGCCUGCAUCAGUCAACUGGUGAAUCCACAUCCCUGUAAUACUCACUGUCAUAAAUCUACAAUGUCCCAGGUUUAAACUGAUUGAAGAGACUCACUAUCCUGGGACACACAGUUUCACUGAAUGUGUAUUGCUUCCUGAAUAUAUCAAACUGCAGUGUUUGGAAAAUUUUGAGCCGUUUAUGGGCAAAAGUUGCUAGAAAUAAAGUUUAGUUAUGGAAGACCAUUGUAUAUAAUGAGCUGAAGGGAA